UACGGGGGGAGCAAGCGUUGUUCGGAUUUACUGGGCGUAAAGGGCGCGUAGGCGGUCAGCACAAGUCAGUUGUGAAAUCUCCGGGCUCAACCCGGAAAUGGCAUUGGAAACUACCUUGCUGGAGGAUUUGAGGGGGGAUUGGAAUGACUUGGUGUAGCAGUGAAAUGCGUAGAUAUCAAGUGGAACACCAGUGGCGAAGGCGAAUCUCUGGGCCAUUACUGACGCUGAGGAGCGAAAGCGUGGGGAGCGAACAGG
rnacentral:rRNA from 1 species